rnacentral:lncRNA from 12 species
AUGAUACAGUUGGAGCUACAUAUAUUUAAAAAAAAGGUGCAGAAGUACAACUCACGCUGGAGGAGAAAGGUGAAGAGCCAGCAAAAUACUUGCAAAAGAUACAGAAGAAAGGACACACAAGGACAGGAAAAUAGAGAAGCAACAAACUGGAGGUCAGAUGAUUGCAGCACCGAGCAAGUGACCAGAUCUGCUAAUUUGGAAGACUCUUCAAACACAAAUGUGUGUAACAUCCAUUACACCAACCAUUCAUCCCAGUGCUAUGGACACACAAGUGAGAUGCAUCACUCUGGUCUUAAUGUUGAAUCAGAGCCUGAACAGCCUAUUUACAUGGAUACAUUUCCUGAGCACCUACCUGAAUUUGUUGAAGAAGGGACUUUAGAUGACAAUGCGUUAUUUGAUGAAGACUUUUCAAUUGAUGAUGACCUAUCAUUUGAAGACAGUUUUGAGCUUAACCAAGAGGAGGGAACAGAACUCGAAAGCUCUACAAACACUGUAGAUCAUCCACUGUACAGAAAUGCACCAAUUUCUGUUGCAGAGAGUCUUCUCCUCAUAAUGACUUUUGCAAACAGACACAAAAUAACAGGAAAAGCUCUCAGUGAUUUGCUUACAUUAAUAUCUCUGCACUGCCCCUCUGAUACACAGACUGAGUGUCUUAAAAAUUUACACAAAUUUAAACAGUUUUUUGAUGAUCCCUCCUCUCUGCUUUUGCACAAAUAUUGUAGCUCAUGCUUCAUGAUUGUUGAGAGCACAGACACCCAGUGUAAAACCUGUGAAGCCAAUGUGUUGAUGGAGGGGUCAACCUCCUAUUUCAUUGAGGUUCCCAUUGAAGCACAACUGAAGAGAUUGUUUGCUCAGGAAGGUUUUGAAGAAAAACUUAAGUUCAGGUUUAAUAGACAUAAAAAGUGUCAUGACAGUAUUGAAGAAAUAUAUGACGGAAAAACCUAUCAGAAAUUUACUACUUGCAAUGGGCCUCUCAGUGAUUCCAGAAACAUUUCGUUAAUGUGGAACACAGAUGGCAUACCUAUUUUUAAGUCUUCAAAGUUUUCUGUUUGGCCUUUUUAUUGUGUCAUAAACGAGUUAAAUUUUGUUGAACGCACGAAACGAG